rnacentral:rRNA from 1 species
GUGGGGAAUAUUGCACAAUGGGCGAAAGCCUGAUGCAGCGACGCCGCGUGAGCGAAGAAGUAUUUCGGUAUGUAAAGCUCUAUCAGCAGGGAAGAUAAUGACGGUACCUGACUAAGAAGCACCGGCUAAAUACGUGCCAGCAGCCGCGGUAAUACGUAUGGUGCAAGCGUUAUCCGGAUUUACUGGGUGUAAAGGGAGCGCAGGCGGUGCGGCAAGUCUGAUGUGAAAGCCCGGGGCUCAACCCCGGUACUGCAUUGGAAACUGUCGUACUAGAGUGUCGGAGGGGUAAGUGGAAUUCCUAGUGUAGCGGUGAAAUGCGUAGAUAUUAGGAGGAACACCAGUGGCGAAGGCGGCUUACUGGACGAUAACUGACGCUGAGGCUCGAAAGCGUGGGGAGCAAACAGGAUUAGAUACCCGUGUAGUCC